CCCUUGUGGUUCUUUGCUAUAAUGUUUUUAUUCCUCAACAUUUACAGAUGGCACACACUGGCAUGGAUUACAUUGAUUCCAGUAAUUAUAAUAGUGUUGGUGGGCACCAAACUAGAACUGGUGAUCGUUGAGAUGGCUCAACAAAUUCAAGAUCGGACGGCUGUGGUGAGAGGGGCUCCACUUGUGGAGCCCACCAACAACUUCUUUUGGUUCAAUCGGCCGCAGUGGAUUCUUUUCCUC